UAAACCUUCCCCUAAGAGUCAGGGAGUCUAUCUGUUUUUUGUUUAAUCUAAAUUUAUCUUUGUAUGUGGAGUGAUAAUAGCCAUGUAAAAUGUUUUACAAGAAAUAUCAGAAUAAGAGUGAUUUGUUAGGGUUAAGGUGUGUAGUCAGUAUUGUGUCAUUGAAAAUAAAAUGUUAAUAAAAUGAUCCAAGAGAUCAGCACUUCUGUCUUUCAAGACUUAAAUAUACCAGGGCGCCAGAGAGACGAAGAUUGAAGAAGUCCUUUGGGAAUUUCUCAAGAGAACUCCAUAUCUUCCAGGAGGGAGGAAAUGGAAGGUAAAUUCCUUUUUCUUUUUUUUUUUACUUUUUUUAUUAUGUGGAUUUUUAUCAAAAUACAUAUUAUGUUGUAAGAUAAUACCAGAUCAAUUUACAAUUUCAAAGGGCCUUUAACCUUUUUUGACCAUAUCAAUUGCAUAACUAUGUCCGAUUUUGAUGAUAUCUAAAAUGUUUUUUUUUAUACUUCUCUGCAGUCUGGAAAGAAGUUUGACGGGCACCUACCCAAUCUUGCCAAAUUCAAAAGCCAUCAGCCAUCAUGCCCUAUAUGUUUGAGGUACAAUGUGCACCUGAGAAGCAUACAGCCGGAUUUCAAGGAACCUAUUGUGGAUGAACUCCCUCCUACCUCGCACCAAGCAACACUUUCAAGUUCCACACAGGGCCCAACCAUUGCAUCAUCAAGUCGUGUCCUCUUCAGUGACAGUGUGCCUGAUCCAGGUAUGGGUAAACAUGGAAGGAAACGUGUCUGGUCUGCUAGAGCCAGUCUAAAAGAUGCUGGACGAGAUUAUGCACGAAGCAGGACUAAGGAAGCAGAUACCUUCAUCGCAGACUACUGUGUAAAGCGCAACGAAAAUAAGGCUGAUCUGCUGUACUUUCUCCUGACAGAAGAUCUGCGCAGUUCCGAUGAUCAUCGUCUCAAGGAAAUGAGUAAUAUCAUACUAUCAAGCUCUUUUUGGGGAGGGGUUUUGAGUUCUAAAAAUAAAGCAAAAAAACCAACAUUUUUUAUCACUCUCACCUGGUACGAAAUAGUAUCGACAUUCCUCCACAAGAAUUGACAAAAAAGUAAAAAAUGUUUUUCCAUGGGAGAGAGAUAGUAUUGGGAAUCAUGUGCACCAAAAAGUUUUUCAUUUUAACAACUAUAGGCUGUUAUUUUUAUCAGGGGGGGUGCCCAUGAACCAACGAUUGUUAUUGAAAUUGCCAAUUUGUCUAUUGCCAACUCGUCCACACUCAUCACUUAGUCUUCCUCAUUUAGCCUCUAAUUCCAUUCUGCCCAGUGUCCAUCAAUAUUUUGUCUAACAACCAUUGCAUUUUGUCAAGUAACCAUUUGGUGCAAUAAUCACUUCAUCUAAUCACCAAUUCGUCAAUAACCAUUUCCUCUCAUAAACAGUUGGUCUAAUACCCAUUUUCUUUUCAAUCAUCUCGCCCAAUUAUACCAAAUGGUAUAUCGUGGACUAAAAUGGCUAUUGGACCACUGGUAUUCAGACGAAAUGGCAAUUAAAACAUGUUGAUAGUGGGCGAACUACUGGUCGGCUAAAUGAUAGUAGACGAGUUGGCCAUUGGACGAGUUGGCAUGAGACCAAUUGAAAAUAAACCGUUUGUAUGGCCUUGAUUAUGAAAGAAUGCAGGAAAACCUCUUUGAAAUUUAAAGGACUAGCUAGCUCACAGUGACAAUAUAGGUCUGUAUGUUAUGUGCUGUCUUGGGUUAUGUAAUGAUGUCAUCCUCAUGUGUCUUUCAAUAUGAUUUUCGUUAUCAUAGAGUACCAAAGUGAUGACGUCACAAUGCCAUAGCCAUGUAAAAUGUUUUACAAGAAAUAUCAGAAUAAGAGUGAUUUGUUAGGGUUAAGGUGUGUAAUCAGUAUUGUCUCUGUGUCACAGACAAGGACAACGAGAAAGCCCAGCAUUUUGAAGACAUUCUCAAGACUCCAACUGGAUCAUUACCCACCCCAAAGACUCUAAACAAUUGGAUUUCAGAAGCCAAUAUCAUGGCCGCCAACUAUGGCAUUUGAUAUAGGAAAAUACCUGGACUCAAUUCAUGACAUUCCUCUUCGUCGAAGACUGAUAUCAGACUACAAAGACCAGAGGACAUAUAGAUAUUUCGCAUCAGGGUGGUUGGAGGAAAUCCAUAACCAUCCUAUUGAUGAUAAGACCAAUUACUCUUUCAUGAAAACGAAAUGUAAUCCUUCCCCAAGAGUCAUGGAGUCUAUCUGUUUUAAAUUUAUCUCUGUAUGUCGAGUGAUAAUAGCCACGUAAAAUGUUUUACAAGAAAUACAUGUAUAAGAAUAAGAGUGAUUUGUUAGGGUUAAGGUGUGUAGUCAGUAUUGUGUCAU